ACCCAAUCUAUAUAGUUUGAGUUAGUUUUUAUUCUUGACCGCCUACGACAGCGAUCAUAAUCUUUCAAAAUUAUUUCGAACCAGCUUUGAAUUAGAUUCGAAUCGGAUCCGUUUUGGAUGAGAUAUAAGAAAUCUUUUUUGUACUAAGAUUUCUCUCUCAUGUGGGCUGACCAACACCUAGAAUGGUUCUGGUUUGGAGCAUCCCAUGUGGGUGAGAGAUUGGGUGCAAAGUGGUUGUCA
rnacentral:lncRNA from 1 species